GAUGAACGCUGGCGGCGUGCCUAAUACAUGCAAGUCGAGCGAACAGAUGAGGAGCUUGCUCCUCUGACGUUAGCGGCGGACGGGUGAGUAACACGUGGAUAACCUACCUAUAAGACUGGGAUAACUUCGGGAAACCGGAGCUAAUACCGGAUAAUAUAUUGAACCGCAUGGUUCAAUAGCGAAAGACGGUUUUGCUGUCACUUAUAGAUGGAUCCGCGCCGCAUUAGCUAGUUGGUAAGGUAACGGCUUACCAAGGCGACGAUGCGUAGCCGACCUGAGAGGGUGAUCGGCCACACUGGAACUGAGACACGGUCCAGACUCCUACGGGAGGCAGCAGUAGGGAAUCUUCCGCAAUGGGCGAAAGCCUGACGGAGCAACGCCGCGUGAGUGAUGAAGGUCUUCGGAUCGUAAAACUCUGUUAUUAGGGAAGAACAAAUGUGUAAGUAACUAUGCACGUCUUGACGGUACCUAAUCAGAAAGCCACGGCUAACUACGUG
rnacentral:rRNA from 1 species